AGCUCCAAUAGCGUAUAUUAAAGUUGCUGCAGUUAAAAAGCUCGUAGUUGCAUUUCCGAGGCAAGGGAUUAGUCCGACCUUUGGUGGGUAUUUAAUCCUCUUGCCUCGUCCUUGAGUGGUGCUUCUUGGUAUUAAGUUAUCGAGGAGAUAGCCGCUCAUCGUUUACUGUGAGAAAAUUAGAGUGUUCAAAGCAGGCUUAUGCCGUUGAAUAUAUUAGCAUGGAAUAAUAAGAUAGGACCUCGGUACUAUUUUGUUGGUUUGCGCACUAAGGUAAUGAUUAAGAGGGACAGUUGGGGGUAUUCGUAUUCAGUUGUCAGAGGUGAAAUUCUUAGAUUUACGGAAGACGAACUACUGCGAAAGCAUUUACCAAGGAUGUUUUCA
rnacentral:rRNA from 1 species